rnacentral:rRNA from 1 species
AAUUUUGGACACUGGGGGAAACCCUGAUCCAGCCAUCCCGCGUGUAUGAUGAAGGCCUGCGGGUUGUAAAGUACUUUUGGCAGAGAAGAAAAGGUACCUCCUAAUACGAGGUACUGCUGACGGUAUCUGCAGAAUACGCACAGGCUAACUACGUGCCAGCAGCCGCGGUAAUACGCAGGGGCCAAGCGUUAACAGAAAUUACUGGGCGUAAAGCGUGGUUAGGCAGUUCGGAAAGAAAGAUGUGAAAUCCCAGGGCUCAACCUUGGAACUGCAUUUUUAACUGCCGAGCUAGAGUAUGUCAGAGGGGGGUAGAAUUCCACGUGUAGAAGUGAAAUGCGUAGAUAUGUGGAGGAAUACCGAUGGCGAAGGCAGCCCCCUGGGAUAAUACUGACGCUCAGACACGAAAGCGUGGGGAGCAAACA